AACUUUUGACAACGGAUCACUUGGUUCUGGCAUCGAUGAAGAACGCAGCGAAAUGCGAUAAAUAAUGUGAAUUGCAGAAUUCCGUGAAUCAUUGAAUCUUUGAACGCACAUUGCGCCUACUAGUACUCUAGUAGGCAUGCCUAUUCGAGCGUUGUUUCAGCCCUCAGCGCUCGCUGGUGUUGGAGGCCGGCGUUGCCGGCUUCUAAAAUGCAGUGGCUGGCGGUUCGCGUGCCUUUUACGCAGUACAUUUCCGUUCACGGCCGCGCCCGCCACGCCUGCCAACUCUAAGUUGACCUCGAAUUAGGUAGGAAUACCCGCUGAACUUAAGCAUAUCAAUAAGCGGAGGCU
rnacentral:misc_RNA from 1 species